rnacentral:lncRNA from 1 species
CCUCGCCCGGCUCGCUAGACGCCGGCGGGUGCACAAGACCCGGGUGCACCGGCUCUUCGCGCCGGGAGACGUCCACAAGCCGGUCCCCCGUCUCUUCGUGGUCCCCCUAAGUCCUCCGAAGUCCCUGGUCCCGGUCCUCUCCCCCACCCCCCAGACUCAGCCGGAGGAAAAACAGCAGGUCCUCCUGCCGCUUCUUCUAACCCUCCGCCUGCCUCGCCUGCCCCCCCUCCGUCUCGGGCUGGAGGGGCGUCAGCCCAGGUGCCUCUGGAAGCUACACCUUGCCCUUCUUCAAAACAAGUUUAUAUCUGUAUCCAGAAGUGGAGUGUUUCCUGCCGUGUCAGCACACAAAGAUGUCACAGCCAUCGGCGAUUCCGGCCCUCCAAAUGUGAAUAUCUGAGCCCCGAGGGCGCCCAGGAAGAAGGAUGAAGCUCUCAAAGACCAGCUCUAAGGAGCUGGGGGUAUUGGUGGCGGGGCGCGGGCAUGUGAAAAAACGCAGGAUUCUGGCUCCGCUAGCUGAGAUGCAUAUGAAAGGAAUGAUUUCUGCAAGCCCAGGCUCUUGCAUCUUUUCGUACACAGAAAAGUGCUAAAUUCCUUAACUUGAGAUAUCUGUUUUUUCAUAAUUAAUAAUAAUCUUUUGAUGUUCAGACUACUUGCCCCUUGUUGCAAACUUCUAUAUAAUUUCACUCCUCCGCACCACCCCCCCACCACCACUUUAUCAGUAGCAGUUCUCUCAGGGUUACUUGGGAUGCUGUCUCCCAGGCUUGCCGUCUUAAAAUUCCCACCAAAUAAAACAUAACUCUUGACUUUUAUGUUG